rnacentral:rRNA from 1 species
AUGAACGCUGGCGGCGUGCUUAACACAUGCAAGUCGAACGAUUAAAGCUCACUUCGGUGAGUGUAUAGAGUGGCGAACGGGUGAGUAACACGUGGGAAACCUGCCCCUUUCUUCGGGAUAACUUCGGGAAACCGUUGCUAAUACCGGAUACUCCGGGAUGGUCGCAUGGCCGACCCGGGAAAGCUUUAUGUGGAAAGGGAUGGUCCCGCGGCCCAUUAGCUUGUUGGUGGGGUAAUGGCCUGCCAAGGCGAUGAUGGGUAGCCG